rnacentral:rRNA from 1 species
CACCAGGCGCGAAAACUUUGCAAUGCGGGAAACCGUGACAAGGGAACUCUGAGUGCCCGUUAAAUCGGGCUGUCCAUCGGUUUAAAUAACCGGUGAAGAAAGGGCCGGGCAAGACCGGUGCCAGCCGCCGCGGUAAUACCGGCGGCUCGAGUGGUGGCCACUAUUACUGGGCUUAAAGCGUUCGUAGCUGGUUUGUUAAGUCUCUGGGGAAAUCUUCCGGCUUAACCGGAAGGCGUCUCAGGGAUACUGGCAGACUAGGGACCGGGAGAGGUGAGAGGUACUCCAGGGGUAGGAGUGAAAUCCUGUAAUCCUUGGGGGACCACCUGUGGCGAAGGCGUCUCACCAGAACGGCUCCGACAGUGAGGGACGAAAGCUGGGGGAGCAAACCGGAUUAGAUACCCGGGUAGUCCCAGCUGUAAACGAUGCGCGUUAGGUGUAUCGGUGACCACGAGUCACCGAGGUGCCGAAGAGAAAUCGUGAAACGUGCCGCCUGGGAAGUACGGUCGCAAGGCUGAGACUUAAAGGAAUUGGCGGGGGAGCAC